AGUGGUUUGGUAGCUAAAUUGAGGCUCUCUAGACUUCAUCAAAUGGAUCAUGGUAUGACUCAUAGAACCCACCCACAGUUGUACCUUUGUUUGUAGGAUGAAAGUCCAAGCUGAAUUAGCUUUAGGAAUUAUGAUCGUACCUUAGAUCAUGCAUUCUAACCAAGAUCAAGGUACCAGUUUUUGGUUGGGAGGUAUAGUUGUCAUCUUGCAGUUGUU
rnacentral:lncRNA from 1 species